rnacentral:tRNA from 1 species
GCCGUUGAGGGUCAACGAGUUACGCGUUUAUGACCCCUUCGUAAGGGGUAGAUCGUCGGUUCAAAUCCGACCAGCGGCUCCA